UCAGCACUAAUUCCUCUUGGAUCCGAGCCCACAUUCUGCUCUACCAGUUAGGAGACUCAGACCUCCGGUACUGAUGACAGUUUGCUAAUUUAAGCUUUGCUCCCCUCUGUCAGACCAAGCUGUUUUGGUAGCAGAUGAGUUUGUGGUGUCGUUUGAUGGGCAUCUCUAUGAAGUGCCCGCUUCCUGUGGCCUUAUGCUGGCCUCUGAUGCCAGUGGGGACUCCUUCAGAGUGCUGCUGAGUCCCGGAGUAAAGUCACAGCGUGCCCUGCUGGUGAAGAUGAAAAACACCAGCGUGACUAUUUAUUCCAAUGGAGAGGUACACAUCCAUACCCCUUCCACAAUUGAUGGUAGUAAAAACAGGACAUAUGAUAAAAUGGUGCGCUGUGAGAUUAGAUAGAUGACAAUAGCAUGACAAUUCAUAGAUAGAUAUAGAUAGAAAAUCUAGCAGAUAAUGACAAAAUGGCAUUUUUAAUCAGACAAAGGUAAACAAUGCAACUGUGGGUCUUUUGCAGGUGCAGGUGGACUGUCGUGUAACUCACCCACCUUACAAGUACAAUGGUGUCAUUAUCCAGAGAGACAUUAAUCUUACCAAGGUGUCCAAUGAGAGAGGAUUGCAGGUGUCAUGUGACCCAUUACAGAAUGUGUGCACUGUGACCCUGGAUGGUUGGUUGCACGGUGUGUCCACUGGCCUGUUGGGAACUAAUGACAAUGAGGCUGCUAAUGACUUCACCCGUCCAGAUGGCUCCCAGGCUGCAGACUUGGCCGAGUUCUCCCAAAGCUGGCAGCUGGAGCCGCAAUGUCCCAACGAGGCACCCGAGAAGGUGUGUCUCUGCCGGAACAUGACCUCUGACCUCUCGGGCUGCUCAGCCCUCUUCUCCAGCCCAGACUCUCCGCUCAGCUCCUGUUUUCUAGUUGUAAGUUCUGUUCCUGUCGUACAUCUGCAGCCACAAUACACCAUUCUCACUGUCCUCAGAGAAAUUACCAAGAAAUUGUUUCCACCGAAUGAAUAAAUGUUCAACUUGAAUCAGUUAAAUGAACUUGUCUUGCUGUCGUAGGUGGAUCCAGUGCAGUUCCUGACAGUUUGUGAGAGAAGUGUGUGUCAGUCUCUGGAGCCCUCCCGCAGUACCCCCUGUAAAUUGGCCACGGCCUACGUCCUCCUGUGUCGGAGAAACUAUGUUCCCCUGGAGCCCCCAGCACCAUGUGCAUAGAGUGGCGUGCUCCUUUAAGAACUGGUAUAAUAAAACUGUAAUGCAUUUAUAGUUGUUUAUGGUC
rnacentral:lncRNA from 1 species